UGCAGUCUAGGGGGGUAGCAAUACCCACCGGCGGACGGGUGCGUAACACGUGGGAAUAUACCUUUCGGUACGGAACAACUGAGGGAAACUUCAGCUAAUACCGUAUACGUCCUAACGGAGAAAGAUUUAUCGCCGAAGGAUUAGCCCGCGUAGGAUUAGCUAGUUGGUGAGGUAAUGGCUCACCAAGGCUCCGAUCCUUAGCUGUUCUGAGAGGAAGAUCAGCCACACUGGGACUGAGACACGGCCCAGACUCCUACGGGAGGCAGCAGUUGGGAAUCUUGGACAAUGGGGGAAACCCUGAUCCAGCCAUGCCGCGUGAGUGAUGAAGGCCUUCGGGUUGUAAAACUCUUUCGACGGGGACGAUAAUGACGGUACCCGUAGAAGAAGCUCCGGCUAACUUCGUGCCAGCAGCCGCGGUAAUACGAAGGGGGCUAGCGUUGUUCGGAAUUACUGGGCGUAAAGCGCGCGCAGGCGGUUCUCCAAGUCAGUGGUGAAAGCCCGGAGCUCAACUCCGGAACUGCCAUUGAAACUGUUGAACUUGAGGACGAGAGAGGUGAGUGGAAUUCCCAGUGUAGAGGUGAAAUUCGUAGAUAUUGGGAAGAACACCAGUGGCGAAGGCGGCUCACUGGCUCGUAUCUGACGCUCAGGCG
rnacentral:rRNA from 1 species